UACAGAGGGUGCGAGCGUUGUUCGGAAUUACUGGGCGUAAAGCGCGCGCAGGCGGCCCUUUAAGUCCGUCGGUCAAAUGCCGGGGCUCAACCCCGAUGCAUGCCGAGGAUACUGGAGGGCUGGAGACACGUAGAGGCAAGCGGAAUUCCGGGUGUAGCGGUGGAAUGCGUAGAGAUCCGGAAGAACACCGGAGGCGAAGGCGGCUUGCUGGGCGUGAUCUGACGCUGAGGCGCGAAAGCGUGGGGAGCGAACAGGA
rnacentral:rRNA from 1 species